CUCAAAGCAUCUGAGUAUGCACUAAGGAACAAUCUCACUGCACACACAUCGUGUGCACAUGUGUAGGUGUGUGUGUGUGUGUGUGUGUGUGUGUGUGUGUGU